UACGUAGGGCGCAAGCGUUGUCCGGAAUUACUGGGCGUAAAGAGCUCGUAGGCGGUUUGUCGCGUCUGCUGUGAAAACCUAAGGCUCAACCUUGGGCUUGCAGUGGGUACGGGCAGACUAGAGUGCGGUAGGGGUGACUGGAAUUCCUGGUGUAGCGGUGGAAUGCGCAGAUAUCAGGAGGAACACCGAUGGCGAAGGCAGCUCGCUGGGACGUUACUGACGCUGAGACGCGAAAGCGUGGGGAGCGAACAGG
rnacentral:rRNA from 1 species